rnacentral:rRNA from 1 species
AGGCAGCAGUGGGGGGAAUAUUGCACAAUGGGCGCAAGCCUGAUGCAGCCAUGCCGCGUGUGUGAAGAAGGCCUUCGGGUUGUAAAGCACUUUCAGUCGUGAGGAAGGUAGUGUAGUUAAUAGCUGCAUUAUUUGACGUUAGCGACAGAAGAAGCACCGGCUAACUCCGUGCCAGCAGCCGCGGUAAUACGGAGGGUGCGAGCGUUAAUCGGAAUUACUGGGCGUAAAGCGCAUGCAGGUGGUUUGUUAAGUCAGAUGUGAAAGCCCGGGGCUCAACCUCGGAAUUGCAUUUGAAACUGGCAGACUAGAGUACUGUAGAGGGGGGUAGGAAUUUCAGGUGUAGCGGUGAAAUAGCGUAGAGAUCUGAAGGAAUACCGGUGGCGAAGGCGGCCCCCUGGACAGAUACUGACACUCAGAUGCGAAAGCGUGGGGAGCAAACAGGAUUAGAUACCCUGGUAG